UAUAAGGUAGGAGUCAGCAAGUCAGUCAGUCAGUCAGUCAGUCAGCAGUUCCGGCGGCAAGUCAGCGAGUCAGCACCGCCUGCAGAAGAUCGUUUAAGAUGAGAAAAACAUAAUCAAACUUCGGCUAAAGAGAGAAUUUGUCAGGUGAGGGCGGCUGCUGACGAGGCCACGCAUGCGCAGACGAGCCUCUUCCCCCUCCCUCCCACCUCUGCCAGAUUAUCGUACUCAGAGCCUCGUUUUUACCGGUUUCUGAGCCAUAGCUAUUGCCAAAAACACCAAUAAUUAACCAUUUUAACGAUAACUAUAUAUGAAGGCAGUUUUGGGGUCGAGGGCGCAGUUUUUGGGUCUCAAAGCGGCAAACAUAGGAGGCUGAGUACGACAAUCUGGCAACGUUGCUCCCUCCUGCCACGUAUUCACCUCUUGCUGCAUAGACGCCGGACUGGGAAGGCGGUGCUGCUGUGCUGUCCACGUUCUCGCUGAGACCAUCUACGGGGCAGUAGGAGCUGGGUGAGUGCAGGACACGGCUGUCGCCUACAAGGAGUAACCCCAACACCCGACCACAGCAUCAGUGAAGGGGGUCCUGGUGUGUGUCCGACAACUGAUUGGGACUUCCUCCUGGAGGGUCGAAACAGCUGGCAGGACGAACACCGCAAAUCUGUAAAGAAAUCACUAAUGUAAAUAAAUAUUGGUGAUAA